UACAGAGGGGGCAAGCGUUAUUCGGAAUUAUUGGGCGUAAAGGGCGCGUAGGCGGCCUUGCAAGUGACGGGUGAAAUCCCUCGGCUUAACCGAGGAACUGCCUGUCAGACUGCAUGGCUUGAGACCGGGAGAGGUGAGUGGAAUUCCCAGUGUAGCGGUGAAAUGCGUAGAUAUUGGGAGGAACACCAGUGGCGAAGGCGGCUCACUGGACCGGUACUGACGCUGAGGCGCGAAAGCGUGGGGAGCAAACAGG
rnacentral:rRNA from 1 species